GAUCGCAGAGCUGGGUAAUAUAUUGAUAUUAUAUCGAUUUUGUGACAUAAGACUAGAUAUCGUCUUAGAUUUGGGAUAUUAUAAUAUCGUAACAUGGCAUAAGUGUUGCCUUUUCCUGGUUUUAAAGGCUGCAUUACAGUCAAGUUUAUCUACUUU